rnacentral:lncRNA from 1 species
CUCUCAUCUAAAUAGGAUAAGCUUUUACCCCUUACUGGUUUUUCGGUUUUUCAUGGCAUGUAACAAGAAUGAGUACAGAUGCUUGUUCUAUUUUCAUGUUUUCCAGAAAUUCUACAGCCAAACCCUGAUGUUCCAGAUUGCCCAGAGUGCUCAAAAGCUUACACUGCUGGUACAUGGGCAAGGUCUGGAACCACACCUGGAAUUCAGCCCUUCAGUUCUGGAACUGGGACCACUGCUGCCUCUCGCCUCUGGAGAUGAGGCCGAGGUGACAGUGAAGAAUCCCUGCAACUUUCCAGUGGAGUUUUACUCCUUAGAAUUUGAUCGGCAAUAUCUCUUAGAAGAGAAGAUCUUGCGCCAGCUGAAGGGCUAUGACUCCUACAAUACCCUGCUGUUACCACCUCGCACCCCAGGGGAGAAUCUGCCCCCAGAAUUGUAUGAGUACUUUAAAGAGAUCAAGAAGCCUAAAGAAGAACAAAUGAAGGCAAAAAAUCUGGAGAGUCUGGCGCAGGAUAAUGGUAAGAACUCAACGUGGAGAACCCAUGGCUCCAGCCACUGCCCUGCCCCCUCUGAGUUACCCUUGCUGUUAGAACUACCAAUUACUGAUACCUCCAGGUACCAAGCACCUUAUGUAUUUUAUGUCUAAUCCUUACACAGUGGAUUCUAUCAUCCUCAUAUUAUGGAUGCAGAGGCUGGAACACAUUUUGCUCUCUCUACAGUCCACUGGGCAUUGAGACUUAAAAACAACUAACAUAGGUAGGAGACUUGCUAGAUAUGGUUCUGAGGGCUCUGCGCCUACAGAGAGGACAGGACCAUAACUUGUUUUAUUUAUAUAUUUAUUGGUACAUUUUAGGUGUACGAUACAUUUACAUUCAUCUUUGGGUGCUUGUACCUGAACAUGACGUAUCUUAGAGGACCAUAAUUUUAAAUGACAAAUACAAGAUUCCAGCCCAAGU